UUUUUACAAUGGAGAGUUUGAUCCUGGCUCAGGAUGAACGCUAGCGGCAGGCCUAACACAUGCAAGUCGAGGGGCAGCACGGUGUAGCAAUACACUGG
rnacentral:rRNA from 1 species